rnacentral:rRNA from 1 species
GACGAACGCUGGCGGCGUGCUUAACACAUGCAAGUCGAACGGAAAGGCCCUGCUUUUGUGGGGUGCUCGAGUGGCGAACGGGUGAGUAACACGUGAGUAACCUGCCCUUGACUUUGGGAUAACUUCAGGAAACUGGGGCUAAUACCGGAUAGGAGCUCCUGCUGCAUGGUGGGGGUUGGAAAGUUUUGGCGGUUGGGGAUGGACUCGCGGCUUAUCAGCUUGUUGGUGGGGUAGUGGCUUACCAAGGCUUUGACGGGUAGCCGGCCUGAGAGGGUGACCGGCCACAUUGGGACUGAGAUACGGCCCAGACUCCUACGGGAGGCAGCAGUGGGGAAUAUUGCACAAUGGGCGGAAGCCUGAUGCAGCAACGCCGCGUGCGGGAUGACGGCUUUCGGGUUGUAAACCGCUUUCGCCUGUGACGAAGCGUGAGUGACGGUAAUGGGUAAAGAAGCACCGGCUAACUACGUG